rnacentral:rRNA from 1 species
GAAUCCCGUCUUUGACACGGACUACCAGUGCUAUGUGAUGCGCUCUCGACGAGUCGAGUUGUUUGGGAAUGCAGCUCAAAAUGGGUGGUAAAUUCCACCUAAAGCUAAAUAUUGGCGAGAGACCGAUAGCGAACAAGUACCGUGAGGGAAAGAUGAAAAGCACUUUGGAAAGAGAGUGAAACAGUACGUGAAAUUGUUGAAAGGGAAACGCUUGAAGUCAGUCGCGUCGGCCGAGACUCAGCCUUGCCUCGGCUUGGUGUACUUCUUGACCGACGGGUCAGCAUCAAUUUUGCCCCUUGGAUAAUGGCGAGGGAAAUGUGACACCUUUAUAGGUGUGUUAUAGUCUCUCGUCGCAUGCAAGGGUCGGGAUUGAGGAACUCAGCACGCGCCUUCGGGCGUCGGGGCCUUGCCCACGAUACGUGCUUAGGAUGUUGGCGUAAUGGCUUUAAACGACCCGUCUUGAAACACGGACCAAGGAGUCUAACAUGCCCGCGAGUGUUCGGGUGGAAAACCCGUGCGCGCAAUGAAAGUGAAAGUUGGGACCUCUGUCGCGGAGGGCACCGACGCCCGGACCAGAGCUUCUGCGACGGAUCUGCGGUGGAGCGUGUAUGUUAGGACCCGAAAGAUGGUGAACUAUGCCUGAAUAGGGUGAAGCCAGAGGAAACUCUGGUGGAGGCUCGUAGCGAUUCUGACGUGCAAAUCGAUCGUCAAAUUUGGGUAUAGGGGCGAAAGACUAAUCGAACCAUCUAGUAGCUGGUUCCUGCC